AUUUUAAAGAUACAAGAGUAUUAUGAUAGAUUUUGGAGACAAAAAGGUGUAACUUCAAAGAUGAUUUCAAGAUCUACAUCUUUUGUAAAAGAAUUUUUGUAUUUAGAAUUUAUAUGAAGAAAUUAUAGAGCAUUGAAGAUAGCAUAUAUAAUUCUAAGGUAGUAAGUAGGCAUUUUGUUAAUAGUAAUAGUUGGAGCCAUAUCUUGAGUUUUCAUAUGAAUUUUUAGCUCAAAAUUUUAAAAAAUAUGUAUUAUUAGGUUAAAAAGUUAUAUAUCAAAAUUUUAUAGUAUUUGAAUAUUUAAUUUGUGAGAUAUGAAGAAAUUUUUAUACAAGUAUACGUAAGCAAGGAUUUGAAGCUAUUAUUAGGAUUUUGAUCAUAUCUCAAGAUUUAUAAUGAAUUUGUAAUUGAAAUUUGUUGUGGUAGUUGUUAAAAGUAUAUUAAUACUUUAUGUAAAAUUUUGAUUUUUUUGGAUAGUGUGAUUAAGAGAUAUGAAC
rnacentral:lncRNA from 1 species